GCCAGACUCCUACGGGAGGCAGCAGUGGGGAAUAUUGCACAAUGGGGGGAACCCUGAUGCAGCGACGCCGCGUGGGUGAAGGAGCACCUCGGUGCGUAAAGCCCUAUCGGCAGGGAAGAAAAGCGAACAGGUUCGCCUGGACGGUACCUGACUAAGAAGCCCCGGCUAACUACGUGCCAGCAGCCGCGGUAAUACGUAGGGGGCAAGCGUUAUCCGGAUUUACUGGGUGUAAAGGGAGCGUAGACGGCGAUGCAAGCCAGAUGUGAAAGCCCGGGGCUCAACCCCGGGACUGCAUUUGGAACUGUGUGGCUGGAGUGUCGGAGAGGCAGGCGGAAUUCCUAGUGUAGCGGUGAAAUGCGUAGAUAUUAGGAGGAACACCAGUGGCGAAGGCGGCCUGCUGGACAGUAACUGACGUUGAGGCUCGAAAGCGUGGGGAGCAAACAGGAUUAGAUACCCCCGUAUAG
rnacentral:rRNA from 1 species